ensembl:lncRNA LINC00511 long intergenic non-protein coding RNA 511
AGGGCGCGCAGGCGGCGCGGGUGCGCGGUGCGGCGCUGGUAUCCAGAGGACGCGGUCACCGCCUCUGGCAUUUGUCGUUCUGCGCUUCUCCGCAAGGACCCUCUGUUAGGCAGGCGCCCACCGUAAGCCUCCCGGGCCUUGUGAACCUGCAAACCCAAGUCUGAGAGACGAUCCGCCUUCAGCGCUUUCCAGCUUGGCAGAGAGGCUUUCCCGGCGGGGAUCUUUGGUUGGCGCUGGCGAUGCGCGGGGAAGAAAGGCGAGGAGCGGCGUCCAGGCUGGGUGAUGUCCCAGCACGAGUAGGCGGGAUGCGCUCGCUUGGUCCUCCGGGCGCCCGGUCCCUGCCCGCGUCGCGCGCCCACCCCUGGGGACGAGAAGGCGGCCGCCUGAGGACCCCCGCCCGCGACCUCCGCGAGUCUGGAGCGCAGAGGACAGGGUCUGGCUGCUCUUUGGCCUUGGAUGGAAAGUGGGGAAUUGGGUGGGGGGCUGCGGACCCCUUAACGUGGAUUACUUGGUGUGUAUCAGCUGGGCUCAGAAGACCCACGACCUCUUCUCCAUCCGUGGAUUGAUUUGUUCUGCUUAACAGCUGGGUCGCCAAGCUGGAGGUAUUUUUCCCUCUCCACCCUGGUCUUCUCCUGUAACGUGUGGCCGCCUUUUCCAGCACGGCCUCCUGCCUUCCUGGUGCACUUUUUGGAGAACGUGGUGGAAUCAGAGGUUUCUGGCUGACUCGGUGGGUGCUUUGAACCAGGAAAGGACAAGAAAGAGGUUGGAGUACAGUGGCAUGAUCUCAGCUCACUGCAGCCUCGACUUCCUGGGCUCAAGAAAUCCUCCUGUCUCUGCCUUCCGAGUAGCUGUGAUCACAGUUGUAUGCCAUCAUGCCCAGAAACAGCUUGAUGGAUUGCUGAGGCAGAGUGCACCGAGCAAGGGUUCAGUCCUCCAUAGAGCUCAGAGCAAAAGGAAUGACCCAGCCGGGAUGAACUUGAACCUAUGGCCACCUAGCUCUGGUUUCUGCUUGGACAUUUUAUUUCAAUCUUAUGGCCUGCCUUGCGCUCCAAGGGUUACUUAUUUCCUCUGCACAUAUUUUAUUUUGAUGCCAAAAUUUCAGAUCUGUUUUCUUAAGAGCAGAAGGUCUUGACCUCAAAGCCCGGGCCAUCACACAGCUCUCUGUGGAGUGGGGUGAGGGAGGCCAGCUGCCGGUCACCUUCUGCUCCAGCACCGUGGGAGGCCUGAGUGGCAAAGCUCCAGCCCCGCUGCUCCCGGGCGGUGUCCGCAACAAGAGGCUUCCGCCCCAUCCCACCAGCCAUCCACGGAGACGCCCUCCCCAGAGGUCAGGAGGGUAGCGGGGGAAGGAAAUGCCAAUCAAUCCAUCAAAGCCCCGCCCUCCCGGGGCUCCUAGGCCCCGGGAGCUGCGUCUGCGCAUCCUUGACCCACUCCUGGGGGCCAGGAGCUGGGCGAGCCGGGGAAGUGCAUUUGUGAAAUAGAAAACAAGAUCAUCUGUAUCAGGAAUGAUGGCAGAAGACGCUUAAAAUUCUGGCAUUGCCACUGAGAAGAAUGAAGGAUGGAGCUGAUUAGAAAAUUGUAGGAUUGCUGAGCACUGUGAGAGGUUUGUCUGAAACUGGCUCUUGACACUCCGUACCCUCCCCAUGUGUAGGGGUCUGUGAGCAGACUAGUGGUAUGCAGCCACUCUCAUAUGGGAGGGAAGCAGACCUUUUGUUGGCUUGGUCCAUAAGUGCGGUUAGAAGUGGAAUGAUGGGAAGCACUGUUAGAGUUAUUGGCAUAAGAAUGACCAUGGUCAAAUGGGCUGGGUUGGGAAGAAAAUGGCACUAGGAGUGAGGUGGCAAAUUUAAACAAAAGGGAGGGGUCUAGAGUGUGGAGAUGAUAAUGAGGUGAGAGAAUGGGCAUAGAGAAAAUGCUGGAAAGAUAGGACAUUGAGUCAGAGACCUCAGAUUUUAAAAGGUCAGAGGUAGGACUAUUUUGGGUGAUGAAAAAUCCAAGACAUGCCGUGAGAGUGAGUUGGGAAGAAUAUAGACAGCGAAAAGCAUUCAAAUAAUGGUCAAGGAACCAGAAAGUCUUAGUGUUCAUUGGACAUUGACCCCUUCUAGGAUGGUUGCAGAGGUUGGCUUCGAAAGAACCCAUGAGGCAGCAAGUGUGAGACGGAAGAACCCAAGAGCUCAGAGAUAACACUUGUUUUAGGGAUGAAGACUAACCCAACUCUCAAGGUAGAAUUCUUGAUAAACACGGUCUCCUAGGCAAAGAAGAUGAAGGGCAGGGAGGGUCUGUUCCUCUUUGUUUUAUUACCAAGUUAUGCUAGGCCUGAACUGGUGGAACUCGGCUUGUUUUAACAGUGAAGCGGCAAAGUGAGUUAUUUUCAGUAUACAGAGAAGUGGAAACUUCGACAAGAAGAGUGUCAAUGACUUGCCCAAAAUGACACCAUCAAAGUGCUGGCCUCAGUUUGUCACUUCAUCUCCCUCUUCCUUCCCCUUGGCUGCUUUUCUUGCAUGUAACCUAUUACAGCAGAGCCCGAUCAGCAUGGGCCUCCCUGUUGCGUGCCCCCUGGAGCUUUGGCAUUUAGAUUUGAUGCAGGGAGGUGGAGGGGAAUUUUCCCAUUUGGCAGAAUGUGUGAAAAUCAGGAGGGAAUGUUAUUCCUGCACAGCAACAAACAGUAUCAAAUCAGUACUUCUUUCUUUCAUCGGACUCUGUUGCUAUUUAUGUAGAUUUAACAGUUCCAUAACAAUACCUUUCGCUUGGAAAGGUCCUUCUCUUACCAAAAAUGCAAAAAGAAACCUGCUAUAUUUUUCAUUUCAGAAGUAGACACCACAGGGCCAGGCGCGGUGGUUCAUGCCUGUAAUCCCAGCACUUUGGGAGUCCAAGGUGGGUGGAUCACGAGGUCAGGAGAUCCAGACCAUCCUGGCUAACAGAGUGAAACUCUGUC